rnacentral:lncRNA from 1 species
CCCAAAAACAAAAUGGAUUCAAAAAAAGGAUUCAAUAUCCUAUCAACAAAAGUAAAGCGGAUUCAAAUAUUACUCAGAAUCCAAAAUUUAAUACCAACAACUUGAAUAACACAAGCCAUUUUACAACUUCAUUACAACUUCAAAAUUUCGCAGAAAUGUAUAAAUUGCAUGACUGCAUCAAGAAAAUCAAAAUUUAUCACUAAAAAGAAGAGAUGGGGGAAUCUUUGACUCUUGAGGCUCCUUGCAAAUUGCUUUCUGCAAAAUAAAC